rnacentral:rRNA from 1 species
GACGAACGCUGGCGGCGUGCUUAACACAUGCAAGUCGAACGGAAAGGCCCUUCGGGGUACUCGAGUGGCGAACGGGUGAGUAACACGUGGGUGAUCUGCCCUGCACUUUGGGAUAAGCCUGGGAAACUGGGUCUAAUACCGAAUAUGAUCAUCGGCUUCAUGGUCGGUGGUGGAAAGCUUUUGCGGUGUGGGAUGGGCCCGCGGCCUAUCAGCUUGUUGGUGGGGUAAUGGCCUACCAAGGCGACGACGGGUAGCCGGCCUGAGAGGGUGACCGGCCACACUGGGACUGAGAUACGGCCCAGACUCCGACGGGAGGCAGCAGUGGGGAAUAUUGCACAAUGGGCGCAAGCCUGAUGCAGCGACGCCGCGUGAGGGAGGACGGCCUUCGGGUUGUAAACCACUUUCAGCACAGACGAAGCGCAAGUGACGGUAUGUGCAGAAGAAGGACCGGCCAACUACGUG